GGCGAAAUAGUUUAAAUGGUUAGAACAUCAGAAUCAUAAUCUGAAUGUUGGGGGUUCAAUUCCCUCUUUCGCUA
rnacentral:tRNA from 1 species